rnacentral:rRNA from 1 species
UUAAAGAGCCGCGGUAUUCUGACCGUGCGAAGGUAGCAUAAUAAUUAGUCUCCUAAUUAGAGGCUUGUAUGAAUGGUCGGACAAGAUGGAAACUGUCUCAAUACAAAAAUUAAAAUUUAAUAUUUAAGUAAAAAAGCUUAAAUAAUAUGGAGGGACGAUAAGACCCUAUAAAGCUUUAUAAUAUUUUUCUCCUUUAUAAAUUAUUCGGUUGUUAACUUAUUUAAGAAAUAAUAUUAUUUUACUGGGGCGGUAAAAGUAUAAAAAGAUUAACUGCUUUUGUUUUGUAUAACAAUAUUAGUUGGAAAUAAAUUGAUCCAUUAUUAAUGAUCACAAGACCAAGUUACUUUAGGGAUAACAGCGUAAUUUUUUUUGAGAGUUCUUAUCGAAAAAAAAGUUUGCGACCUCGAUGUUGAAUUAAGGUUACCUUAAGGUGCAGUAGUUUUA